CGGGGGGGCAAGCGUUGUUCGGAAUUACUGGGCGUAAAGGGCUCGUAGGCGGCCAACUAAGUCACACGUGAAAUCCCUCGGCUCAACCGGGGAACUGCGUUUGAUACUGGAUGGCUUGAGUUUGGGAGAGGAAUGCGGAAUUCCAGGUGUAGCGGUGAAAUGCGUAGAUAUCUGGAGGAACACCGGUGGCGAAGGCGGCAUUCUGGACCAAUACUGACGCUGAGGAGCGAAAGCCAGGGGAGCAAACGGGAUUAGAUACCCCGGUAGUCCUGGCCCUAAACGAUGAAUGCUUGGUGUGGCGGGUAUCGAUCCCUGCCGUGCCGAAGCUAACGCAUUAAGCAUUCCGCCUGGGGAGUACGGUCGCAAGGCUG
rnacentral:rRNA from 1 species